UACGUAGGGUGCAAGCGUUGUCCGGAAUUAUUGGGCGUAAAGAGCCCGUAGGCGGUUUGUUGCGUCGGCUGUGAAGACCUGAGGCUCAACCUCAGGCCUGCAGUCGAUACGAGCAGACUAGAGUGUUGCAGGGGAGACUGGAAUUCCUGGUGUAGCGGUGAAAUGCGCAGAUAUCAGGAGGAACACCGGUGGCGAAGGCGGGUCUCUGGGCCGAUACUGACGCUGAGGAGCGAAAGCGUGGGGAGCGAACAGG
rnacentral:rRNA from 1 species